UACGGGGGGGGCAAGCGUUGUUCGGAAUUACUGGGCGUAAAGGGUUCGUAGGUGGCCUACUAAGUCAGACGUGAAAUCCCUCAGCUUAACUGGGGAACUGCGUCUGAUACUGGGGGGCUUGAGUGCAGGAGAGGAACGCGGAAUUCCAGGUGUAGCGGUGAAAUGCGUAGAUAUCUGGAGGAACACCGGUGGCGAAGGCGGCGUUCUGGACUGCAACUGACACUGAUGAACGAAAGCCAGGGGAGCAAACGGG
rnacentral:rRNA from 1 species